CUUGAUUUAGAACAUUCACUUUAUUGGCAUAUCAAAAGAAUGCUUUGGGUUACACAGACAUGAAACAGCCAAGAAUAAAACUGGUCUGUUUCAUCCAUAGCUCAUUAAGAAACAGAUGUCUUCAUCACCUAACUGCAUAAGGAGUCCAAUGUAUAAUAUAUACAAACUUAACAACUUGUACAUUCUAGUCUUUUGGUUGAUACAACUGUUUAUUGCUGUCCAUAAUACAUGUACCAGUGAUUACAGAUUUCAACCAAAACCUCACUUCAUAGUUGAGACAUUCAUAGUUCAAAGAGUUGUAUAAAUAAUACUUCAAAUAAAAUGUGUCAAUGAAAUAAAAGAUUGCACUAGUGGUUUGUUAGACAAUAUUUACUCUCCCAAUAUACAAAAUAAAACUGAACAAUGUAAGAAAGCUUUAAAAAAUAUGAACAUUUAAUAUGCAAAAUCAAAGCCAUUGCAAUGAUGCAAUCAAACUUAUGACCACAUCUCUUCUCUUGGACUAACAACUUCUCAAAUUCUUUGCAUUCUGUAUGACUAGCAUGACAGCAAUAAGAUAAUGUAAGGUAUGAACAAAUAUACCAAGGCGAACUCAAAAGAAACAACCAAAUUUUAUGGAUUUGAUAAGAAAAAAAGCAAAGUCUUCAGAAAAUCAGUGACCAAUGUAUUUCAGUGUUAAAUAACCAUCAAUCAAUCAACACUGUUUCAUUUUCAAUUAAAAAAAAAAAUGAAACACUGUUUCAUUUUCAAUUAAAA